rnacentral:rRNA from 1 species
UACAGAGGGUGCAAGCGUUGUUCGGAAUUAUUGGGCGUAAAGAGCUCGUAGGCGGUUCGUCGCGUCGGCUGUGAAAUCCCGAGGCUCAACCUCGGGUCUGCAGUCGAUACGGGGCGGACUGGAGUUCGGCAGGGGAGACUGGAAUUCCUGGUGUAGCGGUGAAAUGCGCAGAUAUCAGGAGGAACACCGGUGGCGAAGGCGGCUCUCUGGGACGGUACUGACGCUGAGACGCGAAAGCGUGGGGAGCGAACAGG